UACGUAGGGUGCAAGCGUUGUCCGGAAUUAUUGGGCGUAAAGAGCUCGUAGGCGGUUUGUCGCGUCUGCUGUGAAAACGCGAGGCUCAACCUCGCGCCUGCAGUGGGUACGGGCAGACUGGAGUGCGGUAGGGGAGAUUGGAAUUCCUGGUGUAGCGGUGGAAUGCGCAAAUAUCGGGAGGAACACCGGUGGCGAAGGCGGUUCUCUGGGCCUGUACUGACGCUGAGGAGCGAAAGCGUGGGGAGCGAACAGG
rnacentral:rRNA from 1 species